rnacentral:rRNA from 1 species
AUUGAACGCUGGCGGCAUGCUAUACACAUGCAAGUCGGACGAGUGGCGGACGGGUGAGUAAUGUCUGGGAAACUGCCUGAUGGAGGGGGAUAACAACUGGAAACGGUAGCUAAUACCGCAUACCAUCAGAUGUGCCCAGCUGGGAUUAGCUAGUAGGUGGGGUAACGGCUCACCUAGGCGAUGAUCCCUAGCUGGUCUGAGAGGAUGACCAGCCACACUGGAACUGAGACACGGUCCAGACUCCUACGGGAGGCAGCAGUGGGGAAUAUUGCACAAUGGGCGCAAGCCUGAUGCAGCCAUGCCGCGUGUAUGAAGAAGGCCUUCGGGUUGUAAAGUACUUUCAGCGGGGAGGCGUUACCCGCAGAAGAAGCACCGGCUAACUCCGUGCCAGCAGCCGCGGUAAUUC